UCUUUAUAAUUAAUAUGUAAAAGUAACAAGAUAUACAAUUAAUGUUUGAUUUGAAAAAGGUUAGUUGUAUUCUGCCAAGUCUUCUUAAUAACUCUUUGUGCCAUUGAAAAUCUGAUUUCAACAUCAGCUUUAUUGUGAUCAAAAUAAAGGCACUGGCUACUUAUAGUUUUACAAAACAGUAGCGUCUGUUUUAAAUUACCUACAUUUUGUUUU